rnacentral:rRNA from 1 species
UACGAAGGGGGCUAGCGUUGCUCGGAAUGACUGGGCGUAAAGAGCGCGCAGGCGGUCGUCCAAGUCGCGUGUGAAAGCCCCCGGCUCAACUGGGGAGGGUCACGCGAUACUGAUCGACUCGAAGGCAGGAGAGGGUAGUGGAAUUCCCGGUGUAGUGGUGAAAUGCGUAGAUAUCGGGAGGAACACCAGUGGCGAAGGCGACUACCUGGCCUGUUCUUGACGCUGAGGCGCGAAAGCGUGGGGAGCGAACAGG